AUUGAACGCUGGCGGCAUGCUUUACACAUGCAAGUCGAACGACAGCGCGGGCUUCGGCCUGGCGGCGAGUGGCGAACGGGUGAGUAAUACAUCGGAACGUGCCCAGUAGUGGGGGAUAGCUCGGCGAAAGCCGGAUUAAUACCGCAUACGACCUGAGGGUGAAAGCGGGGGAUCUUCGGACCUCGCGCUAUUGGAGCGGCCGAUGGCAGAUUAGCUAGUUGGUGGGGUAAAGGCCUACCAAGGCGACGAUCUGUAGCUGGUCUGAGAGGACGACCAGCCACACUGGGACUGAGACACGGCCCAGACUCCUACGGGAGGCAGCAGUGGGGAAUUUUGGACAAUGGGCGAAAGCCUGAUCCAGCAAUGCCGCGUGUGUGAUGAAGGCCUUCGGAUUGUAAAGCACUUUUGGCGGGAACGAAAAGGACUGUGCCAAUACCACGGUUCGAUGACGGUACCCGCAGAAUAAGCACCGGCUAACUACGUG
rnacentral:rRNA from 1 species